UGGGGAAUAUUGCGCAAUGGGCGAAAGCCUGACGCAGCGACGCCGCGUGAGGGAUGAAGGUUUUCGGAUCGUAAACCUCUGUCAGAAGGGAAGAAACCGCACUGUGCUAAUGAGCAGUGCCUUGACGGUACCUUCAAAGGAAGCACCGGCUAACUCCGUGCCAGCAGCCGCGGUAAUACGGAGGGUGCAAGCGUUAAUCGGAAUUACUGGGCGUAAAGCGCACGUAGGCUGCUUUGUAAGUCAGGGGUGAAAUCCCACGGCUCAACCGUGGAACUGCCUUUGAUACUGCUUAGCUUGAAUCCGGGAGAGGGUGGCGGAAUUCCAGGUGUAGGAGUGAAAUCCGUAGAUAUCUGGAGGAACAUCAGUGGCGAAGGCGGCCACCUGGACCGGUAUUGACGCUGAGGUGCGAAAGCGUGGGGAGCAAACAGG
rnacentral:rRNA from 1 species